ensembl:lncRNA
GUUAGCAUUCAGAGGAGAAAAAAAUUGCAUUUAUUUCAUGCUAGCUGCCGCUAACAUCUGUUUGAAUGGAGGAUGGAGCACAAGGCUGAAACCUGUCCGAUAUAACCCAGAUGGCUGGCAAGUCUUCAGUGCCCUCCAUGAGUUCUUGUAUAUCCUCAUCUUUCACCAUGGCCUCCAGCUCAGGCACUGCCUCUGGAAUCCAGUCUGCCCUGAACGUAUCCCGCCUUUCCCAGAGAUUUUCUGGCUCUUCCACAGGCUGCUCUCCAAACAGGAAAUCUGCAGGACACAAUACAGGUUUAAUCCUUUGGCUGACAUCUCGCUGACUCGCUGAUAUUCCAUUGCUGGUAAUGGCAGCUGUUUUUCACGAAGUCUUUUUCUGCAGUUUGGUCCAGCCUUUUCUUCAUUAUGUGGUUGUCUCUCCUCCCCCCAAACUCAAAUGAGGCUUAAAAAUCCUCCGAGCCUUUGCUGAGCACGACAUUCCAGCGCUUCACAGUCUGUCUGCAUACUGGAACUGUAAGCUGUUCUCAUACUCCAUCAUGUCCAGUGCCACCUCGCAGCUCUCCUUCACCACCCGCUCCUGGUCCUUCCUGUAGCACUCUAGGAUCUGUGAGCAUGGAGCCCAGCGCCUCUGCACACUCAUGCCUGACCAUGGCGUUCUCAUCGGUUUUCUCCAAAGCUGCCUGCAGCUGAGGGAUGCUGGCCUCGUGUUGGAUCUGACCCAAGACAUGGCCGAUCCCAUGGCGGAACAAAACACUUCAGCACUGAAGACCUAAAAAAUUAUACUUUUAUUCAGCAAGGAUGCAUUAAAUUGCUUAAAGCGUGACAGUAAAAAAGAUUUCCAUUUCAAAAAAUCCUGACAAAAUGUCACCACAAAAAUAUUAGGCAAAACAACUGUUUUCAAUAUUGAUAAUAAUAGGAAAUGUUUCUUGAGCACCAAAUCCGCAUACUAGAAUGACUUCUGAAGGAUCUAGAGUAAAUUCAGUUGAAAAAUUAGCUUUGCCAUCACAGGAGUAAAUUACAUUUUAAAAUAUAUUGAAACAGAACACAGCUAUUUUAAUCUGUUCUUUCUAAAUCAAUUCAGAGCAAUUAUUUUACGUCAUGAUGAGAUACUUACUUACCCAAUAUUUUUUAAGAAUUUAGAAAAGAAUUUAGAAGCCCGUAUUAAAAGACAAUUGGAAUGUUAGAAAUUUGCGUAUUCUAUUUUUAAGAAUAACAUUUUGGAAUGUAGAGAACAAUAUGUAUUUACAAUAAACAAGAUUAAAAUUCAAUGCCAACUUGCUCAAAAAGUGACGGUUCAUGAACGAAUCGUUGCUGGGUUGGAGAACCCGUUCAACCGAUUCACUGAAAAGUGAGUGUUACACUAUAGAGGAAAAGGCCAGGACAUUGCCAUCUCUGCGUCCGCACAACCCAGACGCCACUCUGCCAGCUGUGUGCAGAAUAACAGGUUUAAGACAUUACAGCCAACCGAGUUCACAAUCACGGAAUUAUCUGUAUUUUGAAUUUACUACAAGCGGAGAUGUUGUGUUUUUCGCUCAGAUGGCGCUCUCCAUCAACACCCCCCAUGCCGCCCACCUUAAAAAGGAACUUUUUCACCUCAUCCAGUGGUGAGAGACGGGGAUAAACUUGGAGCGCCACUUCCGGUCUCC